rnacentral:rRNA from 1 species
CACGGGGGGAGCAAGCGUUGUUCGGAAUCACUGGGCGUAAAGGGCGUGUAGGCGGUCAAGUAAGUGGGAUGUGAAAUCCCUCGGCUCACCCGAGGACCUGCAUCCCAAACUGCUUGGCUUGAGUAUGGGAGAGGAUGAGGGAAUUCCUGGUGUAGUGGUGAAAUGCGUAGAGAUCGGCAGGAACACCCAGGGGGAAACCAGUGGACUGGCACGGUGCUGACGCUCAGGUGCGAAAGCGUGGGGAGCGAACCGG